UGUCCUUUAGGAACGUUAGGUCCUUUUAACCUGUUACAGAUGUUACAGAUAUUAUUUACCAUAUACAGUAUAUUGUUUAGUUUUACAAUCAUUUCUACAGCAAACAGAAUACUGUAGGGUCUUGAGGACAUGAAAAAUUUUAGCAUAUGUAUAAAAAAAGGAAGGAAGCAAAUCAGUCUAAAAUAUAUGCUUUUUGGAUUACGUUUUCAGUACAAUCACUUACUAAACUAUGAACACACAGGAAACGUGGUUAAAAGUGUUAGAUGAAAGCAGCGGCAGUAGCGCCAGUGAUCCGAACAAACAAUAAGUACAUCCAUCUUAGAAAAUGAAUUAGAUCUUUUAGAAAUGUUUAAUAAUGCAUCCCAUAGAAAGUCAUUGUCAGAUAUUGGAAUUUAAAGUGCUGGAUGACAUGGGUACAGUGGAACCUUGGAUUGCGAGCAUACAGUAAUUAAUUCCGGAAGCAUGCUUGUUUAUCAAAACACUCGUAUAUCAAAGCAAAUUUCCCCCAUAAGGAAAAAAGGUCGCCACUUGGAUGUCGUUAAGCAAACGGGCAAUAGCUAUCCAUUGGAUAAUUACUGCAGUGAUUAAUCUGGUUCAGCUGCAAUAAAUUAUUUAACCCUAAAAUGCAGUUUCUCAUUUCUUAAACAACUAUGUCAGAAACAUGGUUCCCGUGGUCGUCUUAAAGAUGUUACUCUGUUUCAGAAGAGCAAAGGAAAGAACUAAGGAGAUUGCUAAAACUAAUUAAAAUUAGAUUAUCCUUGCAGUUAAUAAAACCUGCAAGGAUAGUGGUGAAUCAUCUUAUCAGUGGUCAUUCUGAAUGAGUGUGAUGGGAGAUCACUUAAACGCUUAGUAAAAAAUCAUCAACAGAAGAACUCACAACUAUGUUUAAUAGUGAACGUAUGAUCACUGCCACAUGCACAAUCCAAAGAGAACUAGCUGUGUAGCCUUAAGAGACUAAUCUGGAAAAAAAAAUACAUUCAAUUUGCUAAGGAGCAUAAAUAGUGGACUGUAAAAGGUCAUGUGGUCUAAAGUGGCCAGAUAUACCCUGUCCCGUAGUGAUAAAAGUGUCAGGGUGAAGUAAUGUCCACUGGUCAAGCUUGCUUAAGUAUUGGUGUAUAUAUGUGUGUGUGCAUAUACAGUCUGUGUGAAUAUAUGCGUGUGUGUGUUAAUGCCCAAAGAGUGUGCAUCAGAAAAUUAGUUGUAUGUUUUCGUACGCUGGACCAUAUUUAUAGUUCAUGGGUCACAGGAAAUGUGGUAAAAAGUGUGUGCUGAAGGCUUCUAAGCAGCAGUAGGAGAGCCACUGACACGAACAAACACAGGUCUCAUUUUUCUAAAUUUGUGAAAGCGUUAAAGAACUGUGAAGAAAAGAAAAACAUGUCCGGAGAUACUGUAGGUUAUUUUGCUGGAUGGUAUCGUUACUUCUUGUUCUUCAUCUGGGUUUUGGAUGUUGCUGGGAUUUGGAUUUUAGCAUACCUGAAAAUUUUCCUCAUCAGAAGAAAAAGAAAUGUCUGUGACAUCUCAGGAUGUGUCUGUCCCAAGCUUCAUUAUCCAGAAGCCACACCCAUUUACGAUAGCAUCCUACCAACCCCACCACCGUGACGUUCUGAUGGAAGUCUCGCUCCUAACAUUGCUUUACUGAUAAUUUAAAGCCUUAUGCGUAUUGGCCUGCUUCUCUUGCUUGACAUUUAUUAUUUUUUUCUAAUAAAGCCCUGCAUUUGCAUCUGAACAUGCACAGAAUUAUUGAAAAUCUCAAUAUAUCAGAUUGAUGGUUAUUCUGAAAAUAUAAUGAUUAGGGAAUAAGAAGUUUUUAAAUGUGGGCUAGUCAGUGGAAAAGAGUUCAAAUCAUAGGAAUGUCAUAUAGCAUGAGUCUUGACCACCUUUUGAUGGAAUGAAAGAAGAUUUUCCCCAGUUUUUAUACCUUGAUGGACACCAUGAUGUCCACCAAUCGAUAGAGAAAGGUUAAGGCAGAAGGUUUCUUUCUAAAGUUCUUAAGGAUUUGGACUUUCUGUAAAGACAUUUUGUGAGGACUGUUUGUAAAACACGAUAUUAACAAGGUCUAGCAGAGUAAUUGGGCAAGGUACAAUGAUAAGAGAAUCAUUGCAUGAAUGCAUCGUGUGAAAACAAUCCGCUCUGUGUCAAGACUGUGGCCGAAUAUUUCACGCCACCAGACCAGACUGGUUUGAGCUAGCUAGACAGGAAGGCUAUGGUAACUCAAAUAAGUUUUUUUGAUAACAUAUGAAACUUUGAGACUGCCAAGCAAAAACAGGAAUCUGAUACUACAGUACAGUGGACACAGAUUUACCCAAACUGGUCAGUUUGGAAUAAGGAUCAGACCCUUUAUUUGCUCACUGCUUAUUAUAAAACAGAUAACUAGUUUUAUUAUUUAAUUUUAAAUAAAAUGGGGAUGUAACCUGGAACAAGACAUUCAUCCUUGGCAUGAUACACAGCAAUGUUAUUUGGAAAUAAUUAACUGGUCCCACCAUCUCUCUGGUAGGAAUCCCAGAGAUGUCAACAAGACAUGCAUCUAGACUUCUGGCUUGGGGGGUGAAAUGAACUUCCUCUAGAUGUCCGUACAGCUGAGUCACUGGCAAUAUUAGACCUAUUUAUUUCUUAAGUACAGUAUUUGGGUUAUUCACAUUACACCCCCCACAAACAAAAAAACUCAUUAACAAGUUAAUUAGAAAUUAAUUAAUUAAUUUCAUUUCAUUUCGUAAUUUCUAAAAGUGAAGUGAACCAGUGUAAGGAUAUAUUUAAUGAUCAUCUGCCAAAUAUUUCUGUUUAUAUUUCUUCCUUUCUCUGCUUGCUGAACAUGCACAUUCUAUAUAAGGUGGAACCUAAAUUUUAAUGCAGCUAGCAUUCGGUCAGUUUAGCCUGUUUGUCUGCUCCCUGGUGUGGGCUCUGAAUUCUGCCCAAUUAACCAGGCCAGACUAA